AUUGAACGCUGGCGGCAGGCCUAACACAUGCAAGUCGAGCGGUAACACAGAGGAGCUUGCUCCUUGGGUGACGAGCGGCGGACGGGUGAGUAAUGCCUGGGGAUCUGCCCGAUAGAGGGGGAUAACUACGGGAAACUGUAGCUAAUACCGCAUAACGUCUACGGACCAAAGUGGGGGCUCUUCGGACCUCAUGCUAUCGGAUGAACCCAGGUGGGAUUAGCUAGUUGGGGAGGGCAUGGCUCACCAAGGGGACGAUCUCUAACUGGUUUGAGCGAAUGACCAGUCACAAUGGAACUGAGACACGGUCCAGACUCCUACGGGAGGCAGCAGUGGGGAAUAUUGCACAAUGGGCGCAAGCCUGAUGCAGCCAUGCCGCGUGUGUGAAGAAGGCCUUCGGGUUGUAAAGCACUUUCAGCGGGGAGGAAGGGCUACUAGUUAAUACCUAGUGGCAUUGACGUUACUCGCAGAAGAAGCACCGGCUAACUCCGUGCCAGCAGCCGCAGUAA
rnacentral:rRNA from 1 species